rnacentral:rRNA from 1 species
GCUUUUAUUUGUGAGAAUAUGACGGUGACAAAUGAAUAAGGGUCGGCUAACUACGUGCCAGCAGCCGCGGUAAUACUCCGGAGUGACUGGGCGUAAAGAGUUGCGUAGGUGGUUUGUAAAGCGAAUAGUGAAAUCUGGCGGCUCAACCGUACAGGCUAUUAUUCGAACUCACAAACUCGAGAAUGGUAGAGGUUACUGGAAUUUCUAGUGUAGGAGUGAAAUC